rnacentral:rRNA from 1 species
GUGAGGAAUUUUCCGCAAUGGGCGAAAGCCUGACGGAGCAAUGCCGCGUGAAGGAUGAAGGCCUAUGGGUUGUAAACUUCUUUUCUCAGAAAAGAAUUAUGACGGUAUCUGAGGAAUAAGCAUCGGCUAACUCUGUGCCAGCAGCCGCGGUAAGACAGAGGAUGCAAGCGUUAUCCGGAAUGAUUGGGCGUAAAGCGUCUGUAGGUUGUUUAAAAAGUAUUCUGUCAAAGAUUAGGGCUUAACCCUAGAUAGGCAGAAUAAACUUUUAAGCUAGAGUUUGGUAGAGGCAGAGGGAAUUCACGGUAGAGCGGUGAAAUGCGUAGAUAUCGGGAGGAACACCAAAGGCGAAGGCACUCUGCUGGGCCAAUACUAACACUGAGAGACGAAAGCGAGGGGAGCAAAUGGGAUUAGAUACCCCGGUAGUCC